rnacentral:lncRNA from 1 species
CGCAGUGCGUGAGUGAUCGGGAAGUUUGUAGAUUUUAGACCAUAAAGUCUGUGAUAUUCCUUUUAAGUUCAUAUUUAAAGUGUUUAGCAGCACACACACGUUGCUAUAAAGAAACUGAAAGAAGAUCUGACUUGUGGAGUGAGUGAGAAACAGUUUGAGUUGUCUUUUUGCAUAAGGAAAGUUCUUCACAGGACUUUACUCACUAAAAUUGGUUCGAAACCCUUACAAACUGAAAACUGGAUGUGAACUGGAUAACGAACUUGCUGGAAGCAUCACGGGGAGCAGAAGCUCAUCUAACAGCAGUGAGUGUCGUGGGCUCAACCAGUCUGCGAGCAUCGUUGGACAGCGAGUUUGGCGUUGGAUGGUUUCAGGUUACACCUGCGUGAGCCUCGUUUUCUCAUCUGAUAAUUAAGUCAUCCUCACCCAUGAAGCUCCAGUCAGCAUUGUGUCUGACUGCAUUAGUGAUGCUCCUGAAGCUGCUGGUGAUGCAGUCAGCAUCAGUGAUGUUGCAAUCAGCAUUGUGUCUGAUGGAAUCGCUGAUGGCAACUAAGCUCCAGUUCACUUACACUCUGACUGGAGCGCUGAUGCCGUUGAAGCUCCAGUUCGCUUCCAGUCUGAAAGGAGUGCUGAUGCUGUUGAAGCUCCAGUUUGUUUCCAGUCUGACUGGAGCGCUGAUGCUGUUGAAGUUCCAGUUCAUUUCCAGUCUGAAUGAAGCGCUGAUGCUGUUGAAGCUCCAGUUCGUUUCCAGUCUGGCUGGAGUGCUGAUGCUGUUGAAGCUCCAGUUCGUUUCCAGUCUGAAUGAAGCGCUGAUGCUGUUGAAGCUCCAGUUCGUUUCCAGUCUGACUG